rnacentral:ncRNA from 1 species
AAGGAUCCUGUGAAGGGAAGAGUAGUUAGGAAACGGAUAGCCAGAGAGGGGAUGAAUAGGCUGAGAUCAUCUCUCUAUUACGACCUAAGGAAAGACAUCCUAGAGGACUCUUGGUGAAAAUGUUUGGAAGUAACCAAGUAGCGUUUACCAACGUUAAUGGGAAUGAAGUGGGAUUUUAUCCAAAAAGGGUGGUACCACGGGUGAUCUUCGUAUCUCUCGUCCCUGAU